UUCAUGUAUAACUGAAAAAUUGUGCUCUACACUGGAAUUUGAUGCAACAUUGUAAAGCUGUUAUUAUUCAAUAAAAAAUUUUUAAAAAAAAGAGAGAGACCCAUUUCCACUGCCAAAGCCCUGGCUGUGAUUUUCAAAGACAGGGAAGGGAUGCCGUGAAUGCCAGCUACAGCACUUUAAUUGGAUGGGUUUCAUAAUUAAAGUCUCCUUAAGCAAAGACUUCUGUUUAAUUUGCCUUUCCAGACUUUUUGGUAGAAAUUGCAGAGGCACGGGGAAGACCAGCGCAUCGUCAUUGGCAGUCAACCUUCACAUCACAACAGCCUUGAAUUUAGGGGAGAAGCGGAUGCAGCAUAUGUGGAAGACUGGCCUUUGGCCGUGGGAUGGGGAGGAGGGUUCACAGAUCACUUGGGCACACCCUGAAAGGAGCCCCUUUUUGGAAUGGCCUCAUCUCAAACAUGGAACUUGUUAAAGGUGUGCACUAAACACCUCCAAAAGAUGUUUUAUGUGGUGUGAACCUUGAUGUGACGGACCAGCCAGGAUAGUUUCGCACUUACCUAGGCACCUCUGUCGUACAGAUUUUGCCUUCAGCCCUUGGAAACUGCUGCCUGCUGGGGUCUGUUUUGCCAGAUGGGAUUUCACGCUCCUUUUGUUCUGCAUUAACCUGAGUCAGGCUCACUUGACCUCCUCUCAGCUCUGCUGUGUGCAGAGCCUUUGAUCCCAUGAAAGUACAUUCCACUGUUAAUUUCCUCAAGCAAGUGUGAAGUCCAUCUCCAUCCUGCAUCAGAAGGCUUGUCAGAAAUGAAAAGGAAUUUGAGGUGACAUCAGUGUUUGACAAGGUAUGAUUACCCUUUCUCUGCCAAAGCAGGAGCCAUGGAAGUGGGUGCAGUCAGGCUGCAGCAGGGCUCCCCCCACCUGAGUCCCUGGCUGGCUUUUUGGUAUCUGGGGCAGUGACCUUGUAAAGCCUGCAUUGUGAAGUUGGCUGCGUGUGUGUCCAAAGGAAAUACUACAUAUUAAAUAGGAAAGCAGGGGUGGAAAGUUCCAGGAAAUUGAAAGGUGAGGUUGACACGUCCUUAUUCACUAACGAUGCUUCUGUUUUUCUUUCUGAAAAACAAUGAUGAUUUAAAGUUUGAUCUUAGAACAAACUGGCUCUUAUCCAUAACUUUAUAAACAUCCUUUCUUAACUACUUAUUAAAUAAAAUCAUACUAAUAA